GCCCUUGGCUUGACAUCCCACGAACCUGCCCGAAAGGGUCGGGUGCCCGCAAGGGAGCGUGGAGACAGGUGGUGCAUGGCUGUCGUCAGCUCGUGUCGUGAGAUGUUGGGUUAAGUCCCGCAACGAGCGCAACCCUCACCCCUUGUUGCCACCGGGUAAAGCCGAGCACUCUAGGGGAACUGCUAGCGUUAAGCUGGAGGAAGGCGAGGAUGACGUCAAGUCAUCAUGCCCCUUACGCCCUGGGCUACACACGUGCUACAAUGGCCGGUACAAAGGGAUGCGAUACCGCGAGGUGGAGCUAAUCCCAAAAAACCGGACUAAGUUCAGAUUGCAGUCUGCAACUCGACUGCAUGAAGGAGGAAUCGCUAGUAAUCGCGCAUCAGCACGGCGCGGUGAAUACGUUCCCGGGCCUUGUACACACCGCCCGUCACACCACGAAAGCCGGCUGUACUCGAAGUCGCUGAGAAGGGC
rnacentral:rRNA from 1 species